rnacentral:rRNA from 1 species
UUGUAGUUUGAUGGCGACCGGCGAACGGGUGCGUAACGCGUAUGCAACUUACCUUUUACUAGAGAAUAGCCAAGAGAAAUUUUGAUUAAUGCUCUAUGUUCUUAUUUACUCGCAUGAGUAAAAAAGCAAAGCUCCGGCGGUAAAAGAUGGGCAUGCGUCCUAUUAGCUUGUAGGUGAGGUAAUGGCUCACCUAAGCUCCGAUAGGUAGGGGUCCUGAGAGGGAGAUCCCCCACACUGGUACUGAGACACGGACCAGACUUCUACGGAAGGCAGCAGUAAGGAAUAUUGGACAAUGGAGGCAACUCUGAUCCAGCCAUGCCGCGUGAAGGAAGACGGCCUUAUGGGUUGUAAACUUCUUUUAUACAGGAAGAAACCUUUCCACGUGUGGAAAGUUGACGGUACUGUAAGAAUAAGGAUCGGCUAACUCCGUGCCAGCAGCCGCGGUAAUACGGAGGAUCCAAGCGUUAUCCGGAAUUAUUGGGUUUAAAGGGUCCGCAGGCUGUUUGUUAAGUCAGAGGUGAAGUCCUACCGCUCAACGGUAGAACUGCCUUUGAUACUGGCAAACUUGAGUUAUUGUGAAGUAGUUAGAAUGUGUAGUGUAGCGGUGAAAUGCAUAGAUAUUACACAGAAUACCGAUUGCGAAAGCAGAUUACUAACAAUAUACUGACGCUGAGGGACGAAAGCGUGGGUAGCGAACAGGAUUAGAUACCCUGG